ACGUCAAUUGCCGCUAAUUAGUUCUUUAAGCUAAUAAAUGAGUGGCAUAUGAACAAUAGCCGCUAAAAGAUUUAUUUUUAGCGACAAUAAAAAUAAAUUGCCUCUAAAUCUCAUUAAUUGAAAGCAACUUUUUGUUAUUUUAUCCUUCCCUCCCAUUUUUUUUGACAACAAUUCAUUAUUCCCUCCAAUUAUUAAAAAGAGAAUUUUAAGAAAGCCCUAAUCCCUACCGAGAGGCCAAUUCUAUUUUGCUGUAUGUCCAAGACGACAGUGAAGACACUUGAAGAUGCCAUUGAAGACGAUCUUCUAAGACGCUGUGAUCCCCAUCGUCCGACGCCCGCCACCAUCCCAACUCCUUAGGAUAGCUCUCUCCUUUCUUCAUUUCUUCCCGUCAUUUUUAUAUUCUGAUAUUGUAUUUCUAUAACUGCUACUUACUACUUUUUGUUAGUUUUCUUAUGAAUAAUUUGUGGGUUUUGAUGAAGGGAUGACAUUUCACCGGUAAUGAAUUUGGGUUCAAGUCGUGCCUUAGAAAAGGUGUAUAUUGUCGAGCGAUUUUUGAAAAAGGCGCACACAAGUGACAACAUUAACGGGGAUGCAUUUUGUCACAACAAACUUGAUGACAAUUGUUCUUAGGUGGCUCGGGUACAUCCAAGCUUCUCAUUACCAGAUCUUCAAAAAUUUGUUUACUGUUUUCAAACUUCUCUAUUGUUGGGAAGAACAUUAGUUUGAUGUGGAACUUGGUGUGAUUCUAUCAGGCAAUUCUAUGCUUACCACUCUCUUCCUGCUA